rnacentral:rRNA from 1 species
UGGGGAAUAUUGCACAAUGGGCGCAAGCCUGAUGCAGCCAUGCCGCGUGUGUGAAGAAGGCCUUCGGGUUGUAAGCACUUUCAGCGAGGAGGAAGGUGGUGAGCUUAAUACGCUCAUCAAUUGACGUUACUCGCAGAAGAAGCACCGGCUAACUCCGUGCCAGCAGCCGCGGUAAUACGGAGGGUGCAAGCGUUAAUCGGAAUUACUGGGCGUAAAGCGCACGCAGGCGGUUUGUUAAGUCAGNUGUGAAAUCCCCGGGCUCAACCUGGGAACUGCAUUUGAAACUGGCAAGCUAGAGUCUCGUAGAAGGGGGUAGAAUUCCAGGUGUAGCGGUGAAAUGCGUAGAGAUCUGGAGGAAUACCGGUGGCGAAGGCGGCCCCCUGGACGAAGACUGACGCUCAGGUGCGAAAGCGUGGGGCAGCAAACAGGAUUANAUACCCUGGUAGUCCAGCGCUGUAAACGAUGUCGAUUUGG